rnacentral:rRNA from 1 species
AAAGCGCACGUAGGCGGACUGGAAAGUCAGAGGUGAAAUCCCAGGGCUCAACCUUGGAACUGCCUUUGAAACUCCCAGUCUUGAGGUCGAGAGAGGUGAGUGGAAUUCCGAGUGUAGAGGUGAAAUUCGUAGAUAUUCGGAGGAACACCAGUGGCGAAGGCGGCUCACUGGCUCGAUACUGACGCUGAGGUGCGAAAGCGUGGGGAGCAAACAGGAUUAGAUACCCCAGU